rnacentral:rRNA from 1 species
CCUACGUGUGACAGCAGUGAGGAAUAUUGGUCAAUGGGCGCGAGCCUGAACCAGCCAAGUAGCGUGAAGGAUGACUGCCCUACGGGUUGUAAACUUCUUUUAUAAAGGAAUACAGUGAGGCACGUGUGCCUUUUUGUAUGUACUUUAUGAAUAAGGAUCGGCUAACUCCGUGCCAGCAGCCGCGGUAAUACGGAGGAUCCGAGCGUUAUCCGGAUUUAUUGGGUUUAAAGGGAGCGUAGAUGGGUUGUUAAGUCAGUUGUGAAAGUUUGCGGCUCAACCGUAAAAUUGCAAUUGAUACUGGCAGUCUUGAGUACAGUUGAGGUAGGCGGAAUUCGUGGUGUAGCGGUGAAAUGCUUAGAUAUCACGAAGAACUCCGAUUGCGAAGGCAGCUUACUAAACUGCAACUGACAUUGAUGCUCGAAAGUGUGGGUAUCAAACAGGAUUAGAUACCCCAGUAGUC